UACGAAGGGGGCUAGCGUUGUUCGGAAUGACUGGGCGUAAAGAGCACGUAGGCGGAUUGGUCAGUUGGGGGUGAAAUCCCGCGGCUCAACCUCGGUACUGCCUCCAAUACUGCCAAUCUUGAGUUCGGGAGAGGUGAGUGGAAUUCCUAGUGUAGAGGUGAAAUUCGUAGAUAUUAGGAAGGACACCAGUGGCGAAGUCGGCUCACUGGCCCGAUACUGACGCUGUGGUGCGAAAGCGUCGGGAGCAAUCAGG
rnacentral:rRNA from 1 species